rnacentral:rRNA from 1 species
CGGAGGGUGCAAGCGUUGUCCGGAUUUAUUGGGUUUAAAGGGUGCGUAGGCGGCUUUUUAAGUCAGCGGUGAAAGACAACAGCUCAACUGUUGCAGUGCCAUUGAUACUGAAGAGCUUGAGUACAGAUGAGGUAGGCGGAAUUUAUGGUGUAGCGGUGAAAUGCAUAGAUACCAUAAAGAACACCUAUUGCGAAGGCAGCUUACUAAGCUGUAACUGACGCUGAGGCACGAAAGUGUGGGGAUCAAACAGGAUUAGAUACCCUGGUAGUCCACACUGUAAACGAUGAUCACUCGAUGUGUGCGAUAGGCAGUACGCGUCCAAGCGAAAGCGUUAAGUGAUCCACCUGGGGAUACGCUCGCAAGAGUG